rnacentral:rRNA from 1 species
GGGUUGUGAGGUUAAGCGACUAAGCGUACACGGUGGAUGCCCCGGCAGUCAGAGGCGAUGAAGGACGUGCUAAUCUGCGAUAAGCGUCGGUAAGGUGAUAUGAACCGUUAUAACCGGCGAUUUCCGAAUGGGGAAACCCAGUGUGUUUCGACACACUAUCAUUAACUGAAUCCAUAGGUUAAUGAGGCGAACCGGGGGAACUGAAACAUCUAAGUACCCCGAGGAAAAGAAAUCAACCGAGAUUCCCCCAGUAGCGGCGAGCGAACGGGGAGGAGCCCAGAGCCUGAAUCAGUGUGUGUGUUAGUGGAAGCGUCUGGAAAGGCGCGCGAUACAGGGUGACAGCCCCGUACACAAAAAUGCACAUACUGUGAGCUCGAUGAGUAGGGCGGGACACGUGGUAUCCUGUCUGAAUAUGGGGGGACCAUCCUCCAAGGCUAAAUACUCCUGACUGACCGAUAGUGAACCAGUACCGUGAGGGAAAGGCGAAAAGAACCCCGGCGAGGGGAGUGAAAAAGAACCUGAAACCGUGUACGUACAAGCAGUGGGAGCCUCUUUUAUGGGGUGACUGCGUACCUUUUGUAUAAUGGGUCAGCGACUUAUAUUCUGUAGCAAGGUUAACCGAAUAGGGGAGCCGAAGGGAAACCGAGUCUUAACUGGGCGUUAAGUUGCAGGGUAUAGACCCGAAACCCGGUGAUCUAGCCAUGGGCAGGUUGAAGGUUGGGUAACACUAACUGGAGGACCGAACCGACUAAUGUUGAAAAAUUAGCGGAUGACUUGUGGCUGGGGGUGAAAGGCCAAUCAAACCGGGAGAUAGCUGGUUCUCCCCGAAAGCUAUUUAGGUAGCGCCUCGUGAAUUCAUCUCCGGGGGUAGAGCACUGUUUCGGCAAGGGGGUCAUCCCGACUUACCAACCCGAUGCAAACUGCGAAUACCGGAGAAUGUUAUCACGGGAGACACACGGCGGGUGCUAACGUCCGUCGUGAAGAGGGAAACAACCCAGACCGCCAGCUAAGGUCCCAAAGUCAUGGUUAAGUGGGAAACGAUGUGGGAAGGCCCAGACAGCCAGGAUGUUGGCUUAGAAGCAGCCAUCAUUUAAAGAAAGCGUAAUAGCUCACUGGUCGAGUCGGCCUGCGCGGAAGAUGUAACGGGGCUAAACCAUGCACCGAAGCUGCGGCAGCGACACUAUGUGUUGUUGGGUAGGGGAGCGUUCUGUAAGCCUGUGAAGGUGUGCUGUGAGGCAUGCUGGAGGUAUCAGAAGUGCGAAUGCUGACAUAAGUAACGAUAAAGCGGGUGAAAAGCCCGCUCGCCGGAAGACCAAGGGUUCCUGUCCAACGUUAAUCGGGGCAGGGUGAGUCGACCCCUAAGGCGAGGCCGAAAGGCGUAGUCGAUGGGAAACAGGUUAAUAUUCCUGUACUUGGUGUUACUGCGAAGGGGGACGGAGAAGGCUAUGUUGGCCGGGCGACGGUUGUCCCGGUUUAAGCGUGUAGGCUGGUUUUCCAGGCAAAUCCGGAAAAUCAAGGCUGAGGCGUGAUGACGAGGCACUACGGUGCUGAAGCAACAAAUGCCCUGCUUCCAGGAAAAGCCUCUAAGCAUCAGGUAACAUCAAAUCGUACCCCAAACCGACACAGGUGGUCAGGUAGAGAAUACCAAGGCGCUUGAGAGAACUCGGGUGAAGGAACUAGGCAAAAUGGUGCCGUAACUUCGGGAGAAGGCACGCUGAUAUGUAGGUGAAGCGACUUGCUCGUGGAGCUGAAAUCAGUCGAAGAUACCAGCUGGCUGCAACUGUUUAUUAAAAACACAGCACUGUGCAAACACGAAAGUGGACGUAUACGGUGUGACGCCUGCCCGGUGCCGGAAGGUUAAUUGAUGGGGUUAGCGGUAACGCGAAGCUCUUGAUCGAAGCCCCGGUAAACGGCGGCCGUAACUAUAACGGUCCUAAGGUAGCGAAAUUCCUUGUCGGGUAAGUUCCGACCUGCACGAAUGGCGUAAUGAUGGCCAGGCUGUCUCCACCCGAGACUCAGUGAAAUUGAACUCGCUGUGAAGAUGCAGUGUACCCGCGGCAAGACGGAAAGACCCCGUGAACCUUUACUAUAGCUUGACACUGAACAUUGAGCCUUGAUGUGUAGGAUAGGUGGGAGGCUUUGAAGUGUGGACGCCAGUCUGCAUGGAGCCGACCUUGAAAUACCACCCUUUAAUGUUUGAUGUUCUAACGUUGGCCCCUGAUCGGGGUUGCGGACAGUGUCUGGUGGGUAGUUUGACUGGGGCGGUCUCCUCCUAAAGAGUAACGGAGGAGCACGAAGGUUGGCUAAUCUGGUCGGACAUCAGGAGGUUAGUGCAAUGGCAUAAGCCAGCUUGACUGCGAGCGUGACGGCGCGAGCAGGUGCGAAAGCAGGUCAUAGUGAUCCGGUGGUUCUGAAUGGAAGGGCCAUCGCUCAACGGAUAAAAGGUACUCCGGGGAUAACAGGCUGAUACCGCCCAAGAGUUCAUAUCGACGGCGGUGUUUGGCACCUCGAUGUCGGCUCAUCACAUCCUGGGGCUGAAGUAGGUCCCAAGGGUAUGGCUGUUCGCCAUUUAAAGUGGUACGCGAGCUGGGUUUAGAACGUCGUGAGACAGUUCGGUCCCUAUCUGCCGUGGGCGCUGGAGAACUGAGGGGGGGCUGCUCCUAGUACGAGAGGACCGGAGUGGACGCAUCACUGGUGUUCGGGUUGUCAUGCCAAUGGCACUGCCCGGUAGCUAAAUGCGGAAGAGAUAAGUGCUGAAAGCAUCUAAGCACGAAACUUGCCCCGAGAUGAGUUCUCCCUGAGACUUUAAGUCUCCUGAAGGAACGUUGAAGACGACGACGUUGAUAGGCCGGGUGUGUAAGCGCAGCGAUGCGUUGAGCUAACCGGUACUAAUGAACCGUGAGGCUUAACCUUACAACGCCGAAGGUGUUU